rnacentral:rRNA from 1 species
AUUGAACGCUGGCGGCAGGCCUAACACAUGCAAGUCGAGCGGUAACAGGGGGUGCUUGCACCCCGCUGACGAGCGGCGGACGGGUGAGUAAUGCAUAGGAAUCUGCCCGAUAGUGGGGGAUAACCUGGGGAAACCCAGGCUAAUACCGCAUACGUCCUACGGGAGAAAGGGGGCUUCGGCUCGCGCUAUCGGAUGAGCCUAUGUCGGAUUAGCUAGUUGGUGGGGUAAUGGCCCACCAAGGCAACGAUCCGUAGCUGGUCUGAGAGGAUGAUCAGCCACAUCGGGACUGAGACACGGCCCGAACUCCUACGGGAGGCAGCAGUGGGGAAUAUUGGACAAUGGGGGGAACCCUGAUCCAGCCAUGCCGCGUGUGUGAAGAAGGCCCUCGGGUUGUAAAACACUUUCAGUGAGGAAGAACGCCUGGUGGUUAAUACCCAUCAGGAAAGACAUCACUCACAGAAGAAGCACCGGCUAACUCCGUGUCAGCAGCCGCGGUAAUACGGAGGGUGCGAGCGUUAAUCGGAAUUACUGGGCGUAAAGCGCGCGUAGGUGGCUUGAUAAGCCGGUUGUGAAAGCCCCGGGCUCAACCUGGGAACGGCAUCCGGAACUGUCAAGCUAGAGUGCAGGAGAGGAAGGUAGAAUUCCCGGUGUAGCGGUGAAAUGCGUAGAGAUCGGGAGGAAUACCAGUGGCGAAGGCGGCCUUCUGGACUGACACUGACACUGAGGUGCGAAAGCGUGGGUAGCAAACAGG